AGGGGCAGCCUGAUCCGCCAUGCCGCGUGCAGGAUGAAGGCCUUCGGGUUGUAAACUGCUUUUGUACGGAACGAAAAGACUCCUUCUAAUAAAGGGGGUCCAUGACGGUACCGUAAGAAUAAGCACCGGCUAACUACGUGCCAGCAGCCGCGGUAAUACGUAGGGUGCAAGCGUUAAUCGGAAUUACUGGGCGUAAAGCGUGCGCAGGCGGUUAUAUAAGACAGAUGUGAAAUCCCCGGGCUCAACCUGGGAACUGCAUUUGUGACUGUAUAGCUAGAGUACGGCAGAGGGGGAUGGAAUUCCGCGUGUAGCAGUGAAAUGCGUAGAUAUGCGGAGGAACACCGAUGGCGAAGGCAAUCCCCUGGGCCUGUACUGACGCUCAUGCACGAAAGCGUGGGGAGCAAACAGGAUUAGAUACCCUGGUAGUCCACGCCCUAAACGAUGUCAACUGGUUGUUGGGAAUUCACUUUCUCAGUAACGAAGCUAACGCGUGAAGUUGACCGCCUGGGGAGUACGGCCGCAAGGUUGAAACUCAAAUGAAUUGAC
rnacentral:rRNA from 1 species